GGGGGGGGGGCAUUUAAGUCCACAUUUUACAGACCCGUCAUAAAAUGUGUAUUUGAUGUAGUUCACAGAACAAUAAUGGUUGUUUCAGUUAAGAACGCAGCAUAGAAUCAGCAAUUAAACGUUAUGAAGGAACUGUGAACCAGGGUACAUGGUCAAAUAAAACAAUAUUUCAAAAGAGAAAUCAUGUGUAUGUUUCUAAAAAAAAAAAAAAAAUAGUAAAAUGAAAAAGGUAAUUAUUUGAAAGGUGAGCAUUUAAUGUAAAGUUUAGCAAAACCUAAUUAAUGUCAUUGGUGAGUAAUAUUGGAAAACUGUUAUUGAAUUUCUUUCAAUCGAUUAGUUAUUUAAUAUAGUAAAUAAAACAUUUGCAUUUUUCCAUUUCCAUAAUUAUGAUAUUCCUUUUAAUCACAGCCAAAGAAGCAUCUCUUUAGAAUGGGCGUGAGGUAGAAUCAUUGUGAGGUAGAAUGGGCGUGAGGUAGAAUCAUUGUGACGUAGAAUAGGCGUGAGGUAGAAUCAUUGUUAAGUAGAAUAGGCGUGAGGUAGAAUUGGCGCGAGGUAUGAGGUAGUCCAAUGUCAUACAAAUGCAACAACCCAAUACAUCUCCUUCAUUGAGAUGGACAUGCAAGAAGGAGGAGCCCCAUUAUCCUCACAAAACAACAAAGACCAAUAACACUCCACUUGUCCUCAUGUCAGUCACUCACCAUCAGUCACAUGUGACAACCAACGGCGAAGGCAGUGUGACAAGUAGGCUGCUGGUUGUAUCCUGGUGGUAACGCACAGUUGUAGGCGACUGUGGGUGAGUGGGGAGCACGGUCGUCCUCCAAUCAGAGGGUUGUCGGUUCGAUCCCAGGCCCGGCUAACCUGCAUGUCGUUGUGUCCUUGGGCAAGACACUUAACCCAACAUUGCUCCUGUAGCUGCGACUACAGUGUGUGAAUGGUAGUUACUGAUGGCAGGUGUCACUGUGUGUGGUUCUCCUGUCAUCAGUGUAUGAAUGGGUGUGAAUGGGUGAAUGAUGUCAUGUUGUGUUAAAGCGCUUUGAGUGGUCAGAAGACUAGAAAAGCGCUAUACAAGUACAGGCCAUUUACCAUUUACCAUUAACGUCCAAUGCUUCAUGCGUUCAGCCUGCGUUCUCUCUAACAUCCAGCAGGGGGCGACUCCUCUACUUCUAUUGACGUCUAUGAGAAAAUGACUACUUCUUCUCUUCCAGUUAGGGUCAAGUACGCCAUAAAGCAGCGUUUCUUGAUAGAUGGAACUUUUUUUUUCGGCUAGGCCUUUUAACCUUUUUGCAGAGUUUUUUUUUCUCUAAUUGAUGAAUAGAUCUUUUGUUGAGUCAGCAUUCGUUUGUACUCUCGUAUCACUGCCAGGUUCCACAAACCAACGGGUCACUUCACAGUGACUACGCCCACUUCUUAUUUACGGUCUACAGUUGAAGCUUUGCUAGAAAAGAACGGAUAAGCUUAACCACAGCCCACCCUUCAUACGUGUUAACAGUAAUACCAGAAGCCGAUUUACAAGGUCAAUCACCGUACCUCUGAACUGAGCCUGCGGGCGACCUCUGAUUUCAAAUUCUGAGUCUUCACAACUUUAGCUUGCUCUGUAGCCUCGUAGCAAGAGGGUCCGGGUGUAGCGUACAGACAGUGGUGGUGCACGCCACAUGCUGCUGCGACCCUGAGCGGUGCAAGCUGUUCCCUUUAACGGACGGAUUUAACCUCAUCUUCAUCUGCGGUGCACGGCUCAUGUUUACCCCCGGGGGGGUGGGGGGCGGUUAACGAGACCAAGUUGCCACGCAUGACGUCCAAUCAACAGCUCAUUCUGCUAAUUAGCCAGCAGCUUUCUUACAGCACAGAUGCAAAGAAAGGAGGAGGUUUGAUGUUCUCACAAUCAAACGCCUGUAAAUAUAACGCGGCACAUGUACACAGGAGGAUGUGAGUGUCGGAGCAGCAGACGCUCUUUGAUGGCAUGUGCCCCACACAUUGACUUCCAUCAUUUCUAUGAUUUUAAGCAGCAGCUUUAUUCAAAGCGAGCUGUAAAACAGUUUCUCUGGAAACCAGCAGCAGCUGACGUCCUUAUAAACACGUCUUUAUGACGUCUGCGUACACAAAAUGCUGUGUGAUGUUUCAAAGCACUUGGAAAGUUUAGUGGGAAACUAAGCAGCAGCAGCAGUUGUGGUGAAAACCAGCAUAAGGCCCCUCCGGUUAAAUGUGUGCAACAAGAUGCCGUCAGGUGGUUCUGGAAAGUAACGUGUCUUAAAGCUGCGUUCUGGUCGCUGAGCAACACGGACUCCUCUGAUCCCCCAGAAGUCUAUGAGAAGACGACUACUUCUCUCUUGAUUCAUUCUCUCAUUGUAAACAUGAGUUUAUGGCCUCAAUCCCUUUAAAGUCUUCUUUAAUACAGCACGGUGUUCAUUUGGUAAAUGAUAUAGGGUGGAAUAGAGCAUAAAGCAGGGGAUGCUUUAGGGUGGGGGUUCUGAACCUUUUGUAAUACAACGCCUUAUCUUUGUAU
ensembl:lncRNA